rnacentral:rRNA from 1 species
GUAACAAGGUCUCCGUUGGUGAACCAGCGGAGGGAUCAUUACUGAGUUAUCCAAAACUCCCAACCCUUUGUGAACUUACCACUGUUGCCUCGGCGAGUUGUGCUACCCUAUAGCUACCCUGUAGCUACCCGGGAACACAUUCCAAGCUCGCCAGAGGACCUACCAACUCUGUUUUAUACUGUAUCUCUGAACUUUAUAACUAAAUAAGUUAAAACUUUCAACAACGGAUCUCUUGGUUCUGGCAUCGAUGAAGAACGCAGCGAAAUGCGAUAAGUAAUGUGAAUUGCAGAAUUCAGUGAAUCAUCGAAUCUUUGAACGCACAUUGCGCCCAUUAGUAUUCUAGUGGGCAUGCCUAUUCGAGCGUCAUUUCAACCCUUAAGCCUCAGUUGCUUAGCGUUGGGACUCUACGACCUAUUAUAGCGUAGUUCCCUAAAGUUAGUGGCGGAGUUAUAGCACACUCUAAGCGUAGUAAUUCUCUCUCGCUUCUUGUAGUGGUUAUAAUUGCUAGCCAUAAAACACCCCCUAUUUUAAUGGUGA